rnacentral:tRNA from 1 species
GGUCUAAUAGUCUAAUGGUUAGGACAUGGGAUUCUGAUUCCCAGGGUCCAGGUUCGAUUCCUGGUUAGACCU